GGACUACCCGGGUAUCUAAUCCUGUUUGCUCCCCUAGCUUUCGUUCCUCAGCGUCAGUAGUGAUCCAGCUCGCCGCUUUCGCCACGGGUGUUCCUGCAGAUAUCUACGCAUUUCACCGCUACACCUGCAAUUCCACGAGCCUCUCUCACACUCAAGCACAGCAGUUUCGGAAGCAGUCUCUGGGUUGAGCCCAGAGAUUUCACUCCCGACUUGCCACACCGCCUACGAACCCUUUACACCCAGUAAUUCCGAACAACGCUGGCCCCCUACGUCUUACCGCGGCUGCUGGCCAC
rnacentral:rRNA from 1 species